UUAUAAAACAUCUAGCACUUUUAAAGCUUUUUUCUAGAUAUUUAACUAAUCUUAAGCUUGAAAUUGUCUAAUUUGUCACCUUAGUAAUAUCAUUUGACUUAAAUCAAGAUUUAAAAAAAACCCUCUCUAGGACACCAUGAAUUGAUUAAUCUGUUGAAUGACUAAUCAGCCUAUGAUUUUUAUCCAUUCAUAGUUCAGACUGAAUGCUGCACUAAGCUGUACUGCUGAGUCCUAUUAAGCCUGCGAAGCCUGUUUGAGGGAAGGGGGCGCACGUAGGGAGGGACAGAGGCAGAGAGGAGGUGGGACCCAGAGGCUGGAAAGAAGGAAGUCCUAUGUGUAUAAAAGUGUCUUUUACUUCAGAACAUGCUUGCUGAGGCUUGCUUGCCUCCCCUGAAACCCAGCCUCUAAAUAGGGAGGUGAAGUUCUCCUGUAGAUAUUUUUUUUGUGUAGCACUCUUCUGUCUAGCUCGCUCUCACUGUGCGCCUCAUCUUUUUUACAUCCUGCUGAGUGGGAGGAGGGAUGAACAGUGGAUUCAUCUAAAAAGGGACAAACAAAUGAAAAAAGGAAAUAGAAAACAAGUGUCUGAAGAGGUUUACCUCCCUUACACUGCCUCUGCCUCUGAGAAGAGAGAGAGAGAAACUUCAAAGCAGAAGGUGUGAAAUUUGAGGAAGAAGGCGAGGGACCAAACCCGUAGUCUACAAUUUUGCUGGAGCCAAGUGACACGUUCAGGGGGCUCAUUUGUAACUGCAAAGAGAGAGAGACAAGUCAGGUGCUGAUGAGGAUGAAUGGUGGGGGGAGUUAGAAAGUCAUUGUGCUGCAACUGUGUACAGAAGCAGGAGGGAUUCAUAAAGCCCAGUAGAGACAACAACCACAAACCCCCAGCAGCUGCCUCUGCACCAACCUGCUUCUCUCUGACAGUACAGCGAGUCCGGACCUGACCAAGCAGGAGCACGGCAGGAAACUUAGAAAGAGAAGAACCAGAGAAGAGCGGUAACAACCAAUGAUGUAUGGAGGACACAGAGGUUUCAGGUUUACCAGUCCAAAUGGGGAAAACAAGAUAAAGUAAAGGUGAGUCAGUUUUUUUUUUUUCUGAAGAACAUCUCUUUCCCUGACUGUGUGGCUUAGUGUCUAGAAGUCUGUUGUUUUCAAUGUGAGCUGGUGAACUACAGCAUCAGGAAGUGGAGCAACCAUUACGAAUGCAAAGUGGUCAAGGUUAGUGUUCAACUUCAUGCAAAUUAGUGGCAGUGGUAGCUCAGUGGUUAAGAUGUUGGACUAGUAAUUAGAAGGUCAUGCUAAGCUGCCACUGUUGGGACUUUUAGCAAGGCCCUUAACCCUAAAGCUGUAUAAAUGCUCAGCUGUAUAAAUAUACAUAAAUGUAAGUCACUCUGGAUAAUGGUGUCUGCCAUGAAUGCAAAUGUAAAUGUAGAAGGGAUGGUGGUUCACUCAUCCUUGACUCUGAAAUUAUCUGUGUUCCAGAUACACCGAUCAGCCAUAACAUUUAAACCACUGACAGGUGACGUGAAUAACAUUGAUUAUCUCAUGACAACUGUCUUGAGAUAGCAACUGUCAAGGUGGCGACAGGCGGCUGAUUGAUUGAAGGCUAGCCUGUCUGGUGCAAAGCCCAUACAAGACCUACUGUAGUACAAAUUGCCAAAAAAGUUAAUACUGUUUAAUGAUUUCUUGUACAUCAUGUGAACUUCUGGGUGUGUGUGCAUUGCUUACCUGGGGAAGAAAUAGCACCAGGAAGGCAAGCCACAGAGGCAGUGGGAUGCUCUGGGGAAUGUUCAUUCAUGUGGGUCCUGGCAUUCAUGUGGAUGUCACGUUGACACGUACCACCUACUUAAUAUUGUUUCAGACCAAAUACACCCCUUCAUGGCAACAUUAAUCCCUAAUUACAGUGUCCUCUUGCAGCAGGGUAAUGCUCCUGGCCACACUGCAAAAACUGUUCAGGAAUGGUUUGAGGAACAAAGAGUUCAAGGUGUUCACUUGGCCUCCAAAUUCCCCAGAUCUCAAUCUGAUCAAGCAUCUGUGGGAUAUACUGGACAAACAAGUCCAAUCCAUGGAGGCCCUACCUUGCAACCUACAGGACUUAAAGGAUUUGCUACUAACGUCUUAGUGCCAGAUGCCACAGCACACCUUCAGAGGUCUUGUGGAGUUCAUGCCUCAACAGGUCAGAGCUGUCUUGGUGGCACAAGGGGGAUCUACACAAAAUUAUGGCAGGUGACUUUAAUGUUAUGGUUGACCGGUGUAAUUUCUCCUAUGGACAGCUUCUGAGCCAGUUGGUUAUAUUUUGCUUUACUGUUACCACUCAAUGUGUUAAAUCAACCUAAAUAGAAUGGUGAAAACAACAGCAUCUAUAUAUGCUGACUAAACCCAUAAAAAAAAUUUUUAUCCCAAUAAAUAGGUUGCAGAAAUCGUGAAAACGUUGUUUUAGGUCCACAGACUGUCAUAUACAUAUACACAAGCCUUUUUUUAAAAUUUUUUUUAAAAAUCUGAUUAUUGGUCUAAUGAGUGGUUAUGUAUACAUUCUGUCACUAGCUUGUGCAGAUAUUGUUGCACGUGUGGAUAUUGCAUUAGCCAUGCUCAGUGAAACCAUGGCAACCCACAGUAAAAUAAAGUUUACUGCUGAAAAAACAAUGCCCAUUAGCAAACAUUAUGGAGAAAUUUGACGGAUGUGCAGCAAAAAGGUCGCUAUUGAUGUGCAGGCAGAAUUUCAGUAUGUAUUCUAUUACACACCAACAUAUAGGCACUUUGAAAUGAACAGUCAAGACCAUGUAGCCUUGAGUGAUCUAAAAAUGUUGCCAUUUCUUACUGUACAGUUGAACAAACAUUGUCUCGUC